rnacentral:rRNA from 1 species
UGGGGAAUAUUGGACAAUGGGCGAAAGCCUGAUCCAGCCAUGCCGCGUGUGUGAAGAAGGUCUUCGGAUUGUAAAGCACUUUAAGUUGGGAGGAAGGGCCAUUACCUAAUACGUGAUGGUUUUGACGUUACCGACAGAAUAAGCACCGGCUAACUCUGUGCCAGCAGCCGCGGUAAUACAGAGGGUGCAAGCGUUAAUCGGAAUUACUGGGCGUAACGCGCGCGUAGGUGGUUUGUUAAGUUGGAUGUGAAAUCCCCGGGCUCAACCUGGGAACUGCAUUCAAAACUGACUGACUAGAGUAUGGUAGAGGGUGGUGGAAUUUCCUGUGUAGCGGUGAAAUGCGUAGAUAUAGGAAGGAACACCAGUGGCGAAGGCGACCACCUGGACUGAUACUGACACUGAGGUGCGAAAGCGUGGGGAGCAAACAGGAUUAGAUACCCCAGUAGUCCCUGAGCGGGCUGGCAAGGCGCAU